AAGGUGAUCUUGGCUCGGAUGACGCUGGCGGCGUGCUUAACACAUGCAAGUCGAGCGAUGAAGUUUCCUUCGGGAAACGGAUUAGCGGCGGACGGGUGAGUAACACGUGGGUAACCUGCCUCAUAGAGUGGAAUAGCCUUCCGAAAGGAAGAUUAAUACCGCAUAACGUU
rnacentral:rRNA from 1 species